GCCACACAUGCAGUUCAGUUUUCUUUUGUCGUGAAGUUCAGUUCGUGUGCACUUGAAAUAUUACGAUUUGUAUAUAUACAAAUUGUAGAGAUCACAUACUCGGACAACUUCAGUACACAGUUUAUUAUUCUACAGUUCACAGACCACGCGGGAGUUCACCACCAUGCCGCCCUAGCCUGCCGCCCACCACCGCACUGCCCUGGCCUGCCACCCACCUCCGUCGAAGAACACCUGGUUCCCUCGACACGAACACCGCCUGGUACUCUUCCUUCGGUGAGCUCUCCCCAUCAUGUGAAUUGCGCUACUACUGCAACAAAUGUGAAUUGCCAUUCUAAUGUGAACUGCAACGCUGAUGCCUCGCAUGUGAACUGUAGUAUGCAUAGUUUAUUUAGGCAGAUUACUGGGAGCACACUUUUUAUUCUAGGUAGUUCAUUCGUUCGGGCAGACAAAAGAAGUUCGGAUUGUUUACAUGGCAAGUUCACUUUAUAUAUUUUUUGGGAGAUUUGAUUCA